AAAUGUGUAAAGAUCUGCUUUUGUUUCCUACACUCACCCACUCCAAACAUUAACCUCAUACCAACCUCCCACUGCACAUAAGGGCCACAGGAAGCCUGGACAAUGCAGAGAAGCUAAAGGAAGUUGAUAGGCUCUGGCUUGGGCCACAGGGUGGCCCCACAGCCUAUCCAGUGUACCCUGAGCAGCCAAUCACCAAGAAAAUGAAGGCACUGUUCCACACACUACGGACACAGCAGUGAACAGAAUAGACAAACCCUCUGCUUUGGUAAAGCUUCAUUCAGUGAAGGAGAACAACGGCAAACAGAAGGUGGGAUCUAUGCUGUGCCAUACGGUACAGAGGUGUGUACCAGCAUAGACCAGCUAAACACUGUUUCCAAUGGUAGCGGUUUCUCUCAGUGGUUCUGUAAUGGACUGAAGCUGGAAUGUGCCCAAAGGCUCCUUUGUUGAAGGCUUUGUUCCCCUGUCCCAAGUGCUGCAGAGAUCAUGAGGGGGACUCAGCUCAUCAAUAGGUGAAGCUAUUGAUGCGUUCACAGUUGACUGGCCUGGUUGAAAGGAGUAAGUGAUUGCUCUGUGCCUGUGAAGAAUGUCCCUCUCGCCUCUUUCCCUUCCCUCUUUCUGACUCUUGGCCACCACAAAGUAACUAAUGAGCUUCUUCAGACUCAGAGAAGCAAGGAAACCAGCACACCGUGUACUGAGACCUCUGAAACCAUGGGCAGAAAUAAAGUCAUUCUCCUCUAAGCUUGUGAAGCUAUUUUGUCACAGCUACAAAAUAGUGGCCAACACACUGAGCUGAGAGAAGCUCAUAGUUGGCAGAGUUACUAGCCAGGGUUGCUAUCGGAAGCCACCAUGUGACUGCUGGGAAGAGCAUUCUCAAAGAGCAUCUGAUGCUAUUAACUGCUGAGUCAUCUCUCCAGCUCCGCAAUGCUGUUCUUCUAAGUAUAAUGUCUCCACUGGGCACAUGCACCAGACAGAAUCUUUCUUACCCUUCCACACCAAAGGAAAGUGUCUCCUUUCAGAGGUUCCGGCAUAGUUGUAGAUGUGGUGGUUAAACAACUCAUCACCUACUUCAUGUCACUGUAAUGUGUAUGUUUAUUGAAACAAUUUUCAGCUCAUGACCAAAAAGCCUUAAUUUAGUACAGUCCAAUUCAGAACUCUGAUACGAAACAGUGAUAUGUGAAAUAGAUACGUCUCAACUAGAGCCCUGCCUCAGGAGCCCCACCAUCCACCUUACCCAGCCCCCUUGUCAGUCCUGAACUUCAAGCAGGGAGACUUCCAUGCCCACACCCACACCCACACCCACAUGGGCCUGCAGCCCAAAUCUGCCAGUUCACUAUGCUUCAAGCUGCAUGGAGCUUCCCCGAAGCUGCCAACACUGAUAUCUGCGAGUUCUGCUUCUAAUCAGGUCAGAAUUCCAUGGCUGCUUGCUGGGCACGUGUCCUGGGUGGUGGCUGCACCAUGCCCUCUUCAGAGAGGCUGUAAUCUGCCAACUUGAGGAGGAUCCAGAGUGGGGAUCUUGGAGCUGGGAGGAUCAUAGCACCUAUGUGGUGAGAUCACGUGUCUAACUGAGAAAGGCUGAGGUCUGGGAGGAUGGUGUCCUUUACUUGUGGGAGUUGUAGCGUUGUUUCUGUAGGUCUCUGAAUCUCAGAGCAGGUUUCCCUCAGUAGCUGUCCUUCAGUACUGGCAACAAGUGAGAAAGUUAAACACAUUGUGUGUCCUUCCAUAUAAACAGAAUCCUCCAUAUCCAUAGGUACUGUGUCCAGAGUCAACAAACUUGAUAGACAAUAUUUUUAAAGAACGUUUUAAAAAGUAUUGAACACACAGAGCUUCUUCUUGUCAUCAUUCACCAACCACACAGAAGAGUAACAUUUACAUAAUCUUCACAUUGUCAUAUUUAUAAUCUAGAUGUGAUAUAAAGUAGAUAGAGGACCAGGUUAGAGUCCUUUGCUCUGCUCAGCUGAUAGGAAGCCUUGGCUGUUCUGUUAUGCUAGAUGGGGCAAGGCAGGAAGUACCCUGCUGAAUGUUGUCAUUGUCUUUUCCGGCCACAGAACUAGACAUAACAGAGGAAAUAAAGUGUCAGUGUUACCAGUG
rnacentral:lncRNA from 1 species